UCGAGAAUCUUCCGCAAUGGGCGAAAGCCUGACGGAGCGACACCGCGUGCAGGAUGAAGGCCUUCGGGUCGUAAACUGCUGUCACGCUAUAGGAAAGCCCUGCUUUAUAACCAGGGUUGACCAAAGCGAGAGGAAGCACCGGCUAACUCCGUGCCAGCAGCCGCGGUAAUACGGAGGGUGCAAACGUUGUUCGGAAUCACUGGGCAUAAAGCGCACGUAGGCGGUCCGCUCAGUCGGGUGUGAAAGCCCUCGGCUCAACCGGGGAACAGCAUCCGAUACUGGCGGACUCGAGGAUGGUUGGGGUGAGUGGAACUCCUGGUGGAGCGGUGAAAUGCGUAGAUAUCAGGAGGAACACCAGUGGCGAAAGCGGCUCACUGGGCCAUCUCUGACGCUGAGGUGCGAAAGCUAGGGGAGCGAACGGGAUUAGAUACCCGCGUAGUCC
rnacentral:rRNA from 1 species